rnacentral:rRNA from 1 species
UACGGGGGGUGCAAGCGUUGUCCGGAAUUAUUGGGCGUAAAGAGCUCGUAGGCGGUUUGUUGCGUCGGCUGUGAAAUCCCGAGGCUCAACCUCGGGUCUGCAGUCGAUACGAGCAGACUAGAGUGUUGCAGGGGAGACUGGAAUUCCUGGUGUAGCGGUGAAAUGCGCAGAUAUCAGGAGGAACACCGGUGGCGAAGGCGGGUCUCUGGGCAACAACUGACGCUGAGGAGCGAAAGCGUGGGGAGCGAACAGG